rnacentral:rRNA from 1 species
GCUCUAAUUUGAAAUCUGGCGCCUUCGGCGCCCGAGUUGUAUUUUGUAGAGGAUGCUUGAGGGGUGGCACCGGUCUAAGUUCCUUGGAACAGGACGUCACAGAGGGUGAGAAUCCCGUAUGCGACCGGAAGCCCCCCCCUCAUAUAGCUCCUUCGACGAGUCGAGUUGUUUGGGAAUGCUGCUCUAAAUGGGAGGUAAAUUUCUUCUAAAGCUAAAUAUUGGCCAGAGACCGAUAGCGCACUAGUAGAGUGAUCGAAAGAUGAAAAGCACUUUGGAAAGAGAGUUAUACAGCACGUGAAAUUGUUGAAAGGGAAGCGCUUGCUACCAGACUUG